GACGAACGCUGGCGGCGUGCUUAACACAUGCAAGUCGAACGGAAAGGCCCUGCUUUUGUGGGGUGCUCGAGUGGCGAACGGGUGAGUAACACUUGGUUACCCGGCCCUUACCUUGGGGUUACUUUCAGGAAACUGGGCCUAUUACCGGAUAGGACCUCCUCCUCCAUGGGGGGGGUUGGAAGGUUUCGGCGGUUGGGGAUGGACUCGCGGCUUAUCAGCUUGUUGGUGGGGUAGUGGCUUACCAAGGCUUUGACGGGUAGCCGGCCUGAGAGGGUGACCGGCCACAUUGGGACUGAGAUACGGCCCAGACUCCUACGGGAGGCAGCAGUGGGGAAUAUUGCACAAUGGGCGGAAGCCUGAUGCAGCAACGCCGCGUGCGGGAUGACGGCCUUCGGGUUGUAAACCGCUUUCGCCUGUGACGAAGCGUGAGUGACGGUAAUGGGUAAAGAAGCACCGGCUAACUACGUG
rnacentral:rRNA from 1 species